GGAACGCUCUCUCCCAACUUCGCGUGAUCUGGGGCUCUCAGGGACCAAGAUUGGCUCUCAGCUGUGUGACUCCAGUCUGACUCAUAGCUUCUGUAUACCUUGUUGCUAUGAUUCGGGACCACAGGAUGGCGAGAGGGCACUCAGAGGUGCAGAGCAGGAGAGACCCAGAGAUGCAUCAGAUACUGAAACCUGCUCGGAGAAGUUAUGGUAUGCUCCCUACAUAAGACAAGUUAAACCUGAAGGUUGAUAAUGUUGAUGCCUACUUACCUCACCACCAACCCAUCAGAAGAAUGUCCAUGAGCUGAUCACGCCCUCUUUUACUGUAAAACUUGUCACUUGGUUUGGAGGGUGGUACCCUGCUCUGUCCCCCUUUGCCUGGCAAAGCAAUAAAGCUAUCCUUUUCUAAUUCACCCAAAA